rnacentral:rRNA from 1 species
CAUGCAGUCGAGCGGUAACAGGGGGAGCUUGCUCCCCGCUGACGAGCGGCGGACGGGUGAGUAAUGCUUAGGAAACUGCCCAGUAGUGGGGGAUAGCCCGGGGAAACCCGGAUUAAUACCGCGUACGCCCUUCGGGGGAAAGCAGGGGCUCUUCGGACCUUGCGCUAUUGGAUGUGCCUAAGUCGGAUUAACUAGUUGGUGGGGUAAAGGCCUACCAAGG